GUAGAUCAUCAUCAUAACAGCUCCCAGUGAAUCAAUGCCUCCCUGCAUCCACACCCCUUUGUAACAUGAUAUUGUUGCUCUUCCCAUCAAGAAAUGGUCUCUUUUGGCCGGGCACAGUAGCUCACGUCAUCCCAGCACUUUGGGAGGCUGAGGCAGGCAGAUGGCUUGAGUGUAACAAUAUGUUGAAUUUGCCAUGGGCCUUUAAAGCUUCAAUGUUGUGAAGAGCUCUGCAUGAAAUUUUAAAGAGACUGGACCUUUCAUCUGCACAACAGCAGGGCACCUCGCUAUAGGGACAAGAAAGGAAGAGAGAGAGAGAACAUUUCUGAAGUAAUAGUGAAAAAUAACAGCAGAAGCAAUUAUUUCAUCAAAGAUUGCAGGGAGAGGCUCCUCCGUGCUCCUGAGAGGCCGAACACAGGGUCGCCAGCACAGCUUACUGCUCGGUGUCUCCUGAGCCACAGAGGAAGACGUGGCAGGAGCACCUGGUGCUAAUAUAUAUUCAUGUCUAUGGCAAUGCCGACCAUCUGGCUGGUCUGAACCAGGAUAAAAGUGAAGAAUUCCUCUGUGAAGACCCAGCUCUUUCUUUGGCUCCUUUUUUGAAGCCAUCUUUGCUCUGCUCUCCUCUGCUGCCCAGAAAGUUCCAGAGUGAAGCUCAGCUCUAGAUGAACAAAAACUGGUUGAGUCCAGAGAUGCCUGAGUUGGAGAUGAACCUUGCAAACUUUCCUCAUUACCAUACUAAAAACCCCACCCAGGAAGGAGCUUAUCUGCCAUUUCCUACACAUGUGACAUAUGGAGAAGCAUGAUCAGCUACUUCACAGUCUCUGCCUUUACUCUGCCUCCGCAUACAAUGGCUCAGCCAACUAGCCUAACGAAAGCUGUUUUCACCAUUGUUUGGGAGGUACUGCUUUGGGAAACUGCCCCAGCUGUCCUCCUUACUUGUUGUAGGUAAUAAAAUCCCUUUGUUAAAUCAAAAAAAAAAAAAAAAAAAAA
rnacentral:lncRNA from 1 species